UUUUUUUUAUAAAUUCUUUAUUUUUGAUGUGCAUGUAUAACAUUCGCUUGACUGUAAUGCCACAACAGCAUUCUUAGGUAGUAUAAACAUACAAGAGUUGUAACCGUUGUUAAGCAUUUAGAAGGUUUGCACAUAUUUUUUAAACAAUAUAUGAUAAAACAGGCUAGGUACAUGCUGGCUGUCUAAAAUGAAUUAGUCAGACGUUUGGUAACAGUAGCUUAAGGUUAUUAAGUGCAGUAAUCGUUGUCGCUUUGUCGCUUUAGCUUCGGGCCCUAGGUAUGAUUACGCUUAAACAGGCUGUCUAACUAGUCAUAUCCUACAGUCUAUUAGCAGUUAGGUCACAUAUCAGACAUUGUGUCAGUCACUAGGUAAGUCGCUUGAAUGUGAUGGGUUAAUUAUGAUAAUUCAAAUCCAGCAUUUGUAGUAGUAGUGAAACAAAGAUCACCCAUGCUUUUGCGAUUCUAACUAAUGACAGUUAUCUAAAGACAGGCUGGUAAGGUCAACAAGAUGGGCGCUCCUAUUCACAAUGUGAUCUAUGGGCCAGCUUUUGGGUGGAGUAUACCCCCAGGCAGCAGAUCUCGUAAGUGAAUGGCACAGAGUCCCUGAGGGUGAGAUGGCCUCUGUGGGGCGUCUUGUUUCCCUGCUUGGAGGAGGGAGGAAGUACCGUAGCCCAGCGGGAGACCUCUGAGGGUACAGUGUUAGUGGAGGUGGGUGGCUUGCUGGGGUUCUAGGAUGUGUGCAGGUGGAUGGUUGCAGUCGGGAUCUGUAACUUUGGUAUUUACAGUCCGCUCGUUGUACUGCUACUGUUGGGAAGUAUCCUGUGGAGGCUCUGGACUCCGCCAUCUUGGUGACAGUGCCUGGAGCGUGGGUAUUGGUGGUCCUGUAGCUUCGCCUGUCGUGCUUAUGGUUGUCGGGUCCCGAGAGUGGGGACCGGGGGGGUGGGUAUGGGGCCGGUUCCCCGCGGAUCUGACUCUGAGCGCUGAAUGGCUUGUGGUAGGGAAGCGGCAGUCCGCCCCGCUCUCCUCCAGAGUAGGCCUCAAAAGUGUCAGGUAGAGGGGCGGAGCCUAGCAGCCAACAGGAACAGACACACGAUCAACGAGCUCCUCAUCCAUAGCUGACAAAAAUGCGAAUUUCGCAAAAAUAACGAAACCAAAAUCGUUCCCACAGGCCCAUCAGAACCAUGGGACGAAAAGCGAAGAAGCAGAGGCCGGACAAGCCUAAACUGGGACCCGAUAUCGGGGACCUAUUCCACCAGGCACAAGACGCACGAGGGGCCAAAAUGGCCGCCGACAUGGCGGGGUACUCAGACUCCUCGGACGAACUGAGCCUAGAUGAGUACACCAGCGGCAUGUUCGCCCCACUGACCCAACCACCCACACCCACAAAGCAACCUGAACUGAUCACAACAGACACGCUGAGAACAAUGCUGGGUGACUUACAGCGGGUGAUCCAGGCAGAUGUUGCACAGCUCCGGGCGGAGGUGACGGGCCUGAUCGGGCGCAUGGGAGCCAUAGAGGCCCACACAUACAAGCAGGCCCAAGAAAUUGCGGACCUACGUAAAGAGCUACAAACGCUCAAAAAGCACCAAGCAACUACGGACCACCGAUUUGCGGCCCUUGAGGAUCAAAGACGCCGCAAUAACCUCAAGAUCCGAGGCGUCCCAGACGAAGUCUUGCCAGAAGAACUCCCACACCUGGUGAGGAGACUCGCGGGAACACUACUGAAGCCUCAACAAGCGAAAGCCUUGAGCUUUGAGGCGAUAUUUAGAAUCCCCAAACCGAGGACGGCCCCAGCCACGGCCUCCGGGGACCUGGUGGUGAGAUUCCAAUCUGGAGCAGACAAAGCGGCCAUGCUUAAGGCCCUGCAGGGGAAGACCCCGCUCAACUUCGAAAAUGCCAACCUUACCUUCUUUUCAGACUUGUUUGGAGAUACCAUGCAGUGGCGCAGAUCCCUUCAACCAGUCACAAAACUCCUGAGACAAAAUGAUAUCACCUACAGAUGGCGCACGCCAAGGGCCCUACAGGUCCUAAAGGACAAUAUGAUCCACACAGUCCAAGACCUACCGGAGGCUAAACGGCUGCUGAUCACACUUGGCCUGCCAGAGAACUCCCUUAUGCCGACAGGCCCAGCGGAAGCCAGAAGCAAGAAGCACAACUGGGACCCCGCAAGGACCAAGCCAUUUGUCCCGCUGAAAGGGCAGCCAGGCAACCCUGCAGAGAGGAAUGGGGCACCAAGCGGCACUAUACCGCCCUAAAGAGGCGCAGAGACAGCGACCCACGGCCGCUCCUGCCUAUCAUCAGACUUUAGUUUCCUUCAUACCCAGUUCUUUUUGUUUUUCUUUCCAUGGACUUUUAUUUUGUACCUGACGGCAUCACCCUGCUGGUCGCUUGAGAGACCACGAAAAACCAGGACUUUCCCCUACUCAGAGAGAGGCACUCAAGAGGGACUUCGCAGAGCCACACGAUAACACCCUAAGCAGCCCCAGGGCACUCGAUCGUCUUGUGACAGUCGCCACCCCACACCCAGAGACUCUCAGUCCUCCAUGCAGGACAGCCCGUAAGGACCCCUAGGAGGGACCAAUGUCCAUGAUCGUUAUUUGUUUAUAAUAGCGUUAAGGCCACAAAAUGAUCUUAUCACUGUAAAUGCGCAUUUACUUAGAAUGUUACAGCGCAGGGACCAAACUGACCGCAAAAUAGGAACACGAGCUCAACCAGGCCCGACGCAUUUUAUAGAGCCUUGACCUUUCCAUAUGACUUAAACACGGGACGCAUUCUUACACUCACCCAUUCAUAUACUUAUGGCAGGACUAACUUGAUAUUUAACCCUACCCUGACAGUACAAUGGCCUAGCCGAACAUGGGUCAUCUCACACGACAUGAGUCACUGAAACAUUUAGAGCAAACUAGCCGCAACAACAUGGUUGCCAUUAAUACUGCACUACUCAUACGGCAGCGUAAGCCACACUAACGAAAUAGGCGAUACACACUUCUAUUCUGACAACAGAAGCAUUUAGCUAUCUCUGUUCUCUGAAAAAUGUACAGACAUACAUGCCUUUAAGCCACAGUCUAACCUCUGCUAUACAUGGAACACGCCACUGGGCCGUAUAUUCCUUAUCUGUAUGAAUCGGCACGACAAAAUUAAUGUCACGCUUCCAGAUCAAACCAUACUCUUUGUUUCUUAAAAUUUCUCUUGUGUUUCUUAUUUCUUUAUUAUUGCUACAAUAUUUAAGACCUGACUACCUUACCAAGACGUAACCUGUCUAGCGUUCACUCUAAGGCACAAACCACACGCUCCCACUUAAACUGAGCCAAAACGAAAGGCUGACGUAGUCCCUUCUCAUUACAGGGUGCGAAAGACUUACAGCUUAAUCGCACUACUAUAGUACUAUCCCUCAUAGCACAAAUCUGCUAAAACACCACUGUUAAAGCAUAUGUCCACCUAUUGUUAUUGUUAAUAUUUUACUCAACUUGUUGAUAUCACGAUGUAAAGUAAGCUCAUAACAAAAAUGUGUAUGCUCCUUACAUACCACAUAUCUGUUGUUUUUUUUUCUUCUUUGGAAUUUGCGCUUGUGAGAGCUGAUGUGGCUGUACAAGCAAUGUUGUAAACCUUUAUGCACACCAAAAAAUAAAGAAUUUCAAAAUAAAAAAGUGUCAGGUAGGAUUCCUCCUCCAGGGGACUGAAGCCUGUUUGGCCAGCCUCACCCUGGAUCCAGGGCUCUCUGCCCGCUGAGGGCCACUGUUGCCAGUCAGUUUUGUGCCAGAAAUCUGAAUUUUAUUGCUUGUUAGGCCUUGGGUUGUAGAGCUGGUUUCACUUGCGACCAGCCAGCUCGGCGGUCCGGCCCUGCCCCCCCCCCUUUUUUUAACCCUUGUUAAUACAUACAUGUCCUCACUGGAGGUACUUCUUCUAACCAGUGAUGUCUAUCCCUUCUGUACCUG